UAUGCCUGUAUGAGAGUGUGUGUGCAUGUAAGAUAUUCUAUGAGAAGCGGGGGAAAUAUUAAGUUAUGAAAGCUUGAAAUACUAUAUUUUAGUGUUGCUGAGUUUUGUUUUGCUUUUAGUAUUAUAGUUAUUGUUUAACCCUAGGUCAAACCCUUAUAAAGCCAACCUAUGAACCGUGGUCAUCCAGACCUCUUUUUUUUCUAUAUAUAUAUAUAUACGACAGUAAGAUAGCAACAACCUGGAGGUAUCUGUUCUGGCUCACUGCACACUGAGUUCAAAUCCCGCCAAAGUCAACUGUGUCGUUCAUUCUUUCUGGGUCAAUAAAGAACCAGUCUAGCAACAAAGAAUGUGUCUUUUCACCAGAUGCCAGAUCAGUGUGGGAUGCCAGAUCAAUAUGGGUGCAGAUCAGUACUCUACCAUCACCAUUUCAAUGACUUACUGGUACUCCAUUGAGAGAUGGGAUGGAUAAACAGUUGUUAACCCUAGCAGGAUUUGAACUCAAAACAUAGAGGGGAUGUGAGCAGGGAUUUAUGAAAGCACUUACCAAUACAAAGAAUCUCAAAGAAUGGCUACAACUUGUUAUAGACAACACAACAAAAGAAAUUAGAAAAAGCAGUGAACCUUCCUGGUCAGAAGAAUCACAGGAGGUCACUUAAAAUGUUAUAUUCUUUUACUGUUGUUUUCAGUCAUUGGACUGCAGCCAUUGGACUGCAGCCAUGCUGGGAUAUUACCUUCAAAAGUUAGCUUGUUGUUUAUCAUAUUUCAUUGAUUUUUAUUUAUUGAAUGACCAAGUAAUAAUACCUUUUUGGCGUGACUGACUGAAAGUCUGAUGCACUGGUAACAUGCACACAUACAUAUAUGAACAGACACAUACACAUAUGUAUAUACAUGUGUGUGUGUACAUAUAUCUUUUAUCUUUCAUUAGACUGUGGCCAUGCUGGGGCACCACCUUGAAGAAUUUUUAAUCAAAUGAAUCAACCACAGUACCUUUUUUUAAAAGCCUGGUACUUAUUCUAUCAAUCACUUUUGCUGAACCACUAAGUUAUGGCAAUAUAAACAAGCCAACACUGGUUGCCAAGCAGUGGUGGGGGACAAAUAAAAACACAUGCACACAAGCACAUAUGCAAGCACGUACACACACACAUAUAUACGAACAUAUGACAGCCUUCUUUCAGUUUCCAUUGACCAAAUCCACUCACAAGGUUUUGGUCAGCAAUGAGGCUAUAGUAAAAGACACUCGCCCAAGAUGUCACACAGUAGGAUUGAACUCAGAACCAUGUGGUUUGGAAGCAAACUUCUUACCGCAUAGCCACCCCUGCAUAUGUAUACACACACACACACAUGUAUACACGUGUUUCUGCACAGUUUUCACCAAGCAAGGUAUCAGUCAAUCUAAUGCAACAGUGGAAGAUACUUAUCCAAGGUUUCACACAGUAGACCCAAGCCUGUAACCAUAUAGUUGUGAAGUAUACUUCUUAACCAUACAGCUAUAAUUUCAUCAUACAUUAAAUGUCUUUGUUGUUGUUUUUUCUCAACAACUCAUCAUUCAAAUAGUUUUGAUCCAAUCUUAUUUGAAAAUUUGGAGAAGACCAAAACUGAUAUUUUAAUAUAACAGUUGAUAACCUUCUUCUACAGAUCAUCGUUUUCAGAUUGUUUGGUAUACACUCCACGGGUGUGGGGUUUUUUUUUUGUUUUGCUUUGUUUGGUUUUGUUUGGUUUUGCUUUGUUUUGUUUUUUGUGAAACAUUUUAAUUCUGUUCUUUGAUCACAUGUGGAACAGAUUAUCAAGUGACAAGAUCACCCACAUCUAUAUAUUCCCCAACAGUAAUAUGAUCAUUUCUUUUAUUGUAUGAUGAAGGAAACUAAAAUUAAACAAACAAACAAAUGAAUAAAUAAAAGAAAAAUAUCUUCUCAAA